rnacentral:misc_RNA from 1 species
CUGAGUUACCGCUCUAUAACCCUUUGUGAACAUACCUAACUGUUGCUUCGGCGGGCAGGGGGUGCCGCCUGCGGACCCCCCUCCCGGCCCUGCCCUCACGGGCGGAGCGCCCGCCGGAGGAUACCAAACUCUAUUUUAACGACGUUUCUUCUGAGUGGCACAAGCA